GCUGGCGGAUGCUUUACACAUGCAAGUCGAACGGCAGCACGGACUUCGGUCGAAAAUAUAUGAACGGUGAGUAAAGGUAUCGAACGUGCUCUAGUAGUGUGGAUAAAUCACGCGAAAGCGUAUAAUAUCGCAUUACUGCCCUUUGGGAAAGCGGGGACCUUCGGGCCUCGUGACCAUUAGAGCGGCUUUGAUAUCGUGAUUUAGCUAGAAGCUGGUGUGGGGCAAUUGCCCCACUAAGGCAUGAUCCCGUAGCUUGCCUUCGGAGGAGGACGACCAGCCACACUUUGGGACUGGAGGAGACGGGCCCAGACUCCUACGGGAGGCAGCAGUGGGGAAUUCUGGACAAUGGGGGAAACCCUGAUCCAGCCAUCCCGCGUGUGUGCGAUGAAGGCCUUCGGGUUGUAAAGCACUUUUGGCAGGAAAAGAAACGGCACGGGAGCACACCUCGUGCAACUGACGGUACCUUGCAGAAUAAGCACCGGCCAAUCACGUGUCAGCAGCCGCGGUAAUACGUAGGGUGCAAGCGUUAAUCGGAAUUACUGGGCGUAAAGCGUGCGCAGGCGGUUCGGAAAGAAAGAUGUGAAAUCCCAGAGCUUAACUUUGGAACUGCAUUUUUAACUACCGAGCUAGGAUUAUGUGUCAGAGGGAGGUGGAAUUCCGCGUGUAGCAGUGAAAUGCGUAGAUAUGCGGAGGAACACCGAUGGCGAAGGCAGCCUCCUGGGAUAACACUGACGCUCAUGCACCUGUUAGAGCAACAGGAUUAGAUACUCCUGGUAGUCCACGCCCUAAACGAUGUCAACUAGCUGUUGGGGCCUUCGGGCCUUGUAGCGCAGCUAACGCGGUGAAGUUGACCGCCUGGGGAGUACGGUCGCAAGAUUAAACUCAAAGGAAUUGACGGGGACUCGCACAAGCGGUGGAUGAUGCGGAUUAAUUCGAUGCAACGCAGCGAAAAACCUUACCUACCCUUGACAUGUCUGGCAACUCGAAGAGGAUUUGGGGGAGGCGCCUGCAAGAGAACCGGAACACAGGUGUUGCAUGGCUGUCGUCAGCUCGUGUCGAGAUGUUGGGUUAAGUCCUGCAACGAGCGCAACCCUUGUCAUUAGUUGCUACGAAAGGGCACUCUAAUGAGACUGCCGGUGACAAACCGGAGGAAGGUGGGGAUGACGCUUCAAGUCCUCAUGGCCCUUAUGGGUAGGGCUUCACACGUCAUACAAUGGUCGGGACAGAGGGUCGCCAACCCGCGAGGGGGAGCUAAUCCCAGAAACCCGAUCGUAGUCCGGAUCGCAGUCUGCAACUCGACUGCGUGAAGUCGGAAUCGCUAGUAAUCGCGGAUCAGCAUGUCGCGGUGAAUAUGUUCUUGGCCUCGAAGAAGACUCGCCCAAGGCCACCCAUGUGGAGUGGGUUUUACCAGAAGUAGUUAGCCUAACCGUAAGGAGGGCGAUUACCACGGUAGGAUUCAUGAUCAUGAAGCCGUAACAAGGUAA
rnacentral:rRNA from 1 species